GGGCUCAAGUGAGUGGAGGGAUCCAUUUUAAACAGCAGGAGCCCCUCCGCCUCCAUUUAAGGAUAGGAGAGUGGUGGACGACAGUUAUCGUGGUUUUCGUUCUGAGGUGGCACUGUGGGAGCUAAAGCUGGCGAUCUAGCGUUCCGCGUCCAAGUCCAGCCUCCAGUGGUCGAGAGUUAAGCAUCCCCUGCUUUUCCUUCGCUACUCAUUGCUCGUAUCUACUCCAGAGCGGGUCUCUCCGAGGAGGCUGUGCCGAAGGCCGCCGGUAGGCGAGAUGUUCAAAAACACGUUCCAGAGUGGCUUCCUCUCCAUCCUCUACAGCAUUGGCAGCAAGCCCCUGCAGAUCUGGGACAAAAAGGUGCGAAAUGGCCACAUCAAAAGAAUCACUGAUAAUGACAUUCAGUCUCUGGUGUUAGAAAUUGAAGGGACAAAUGUCAGCACUACAUAUAUAACAUGUCCUGCAGACCCAAAGAAGACAUUGGGAAUUAAGCUUCCUUUCCUUGUCAUGAUUAUAAAAAACCUGAAGAAAUAUUUCACCUUUGAAGUACAGGUACUAGAUGACAAAAAUGUGCGCCGGCGGUUUCGGGCAAGUAACUAUCAGAGCACUACUCGUGUCAAGCCCUUUAUCUGUACCAUGCCCAUGCGGCUGGAUGAUGGCUGGAACCAGAUUCAGUUCAACUUAUCUGACUUCACCCGGCGGGCAUAUGGCACAAAUUACAUUGAGACCCUAAGAGUACAGAUCCAUGCAAACUGCCGCAUCCGACGUGUUUACUUCUCAGACAGGCUCUACUCAGAAGAUGAGCUGCCGGCAGAGUUCAAACUGUAUCUCCCAGUUCAGAAUAAGGCAAAGCAAUAACUGGAAUGCAACUCAAGAUAGACCCUGAACGUGACCCUUAAGGAAACUACCUUGAGAACAAUGCAAAAAACAUUUGUACUUCACUGUGCUAUGGUCACCUUGUCAUGGACACUAGUGACCAUAACUCCGUAACUGCAUCUGGUUACCACGCGGCGGAGAAAGGAACAGAUGAUGGCCAGCACAACACCACUGGUGAGCCUUACAAUCAAAGUGAAGAAUGACAAAAAAUAAGGCACCCUACAGUCUACCCUUAGCAAUGGAAGAACCCACUUAUAGCAAACUCAGGACCGACUUCUGCACCAGGCGCAGUGCCAACAGCUCACAGCAUUUCCAGGGCCCAUCGAGUGUUCCAACAAUUUUUU